UAUAUAAGAAGCAAUUUGCAUAUAAUAUCGACAUAAAAGAGAGAGUAUUUACUCUCUAUAUAU
rnacentral:tRNA from 1 species